UGCGAAUGUGGGAAAACGUGACAUCCUCAAAACUCUAAAGUGCGCAUGAAGCUGAAACCUAGGCAGUCGCUAAUCAUUGCGCCCACGCACAACUAGGAGCUUCUGUAUGUCCUUUGUCUGGAAAGAAUCUAUGGCUGCUCUCAACUGGAUGAUUUCUUGAUGGUGUUUACUAACAUCUUCCUCGAUAAGCUGAAAAUAUGCUGAUCUGAAAUUAUCCAAAAUCCAAAUAAACAUACACCCUUUAUUACACUGCCAGAAACAGGAUUGAGUUGAAUGUGUUUAUUGAUCAAUGAUCAAUGAUCAAUGUACCUCUUCAUCAUCUCUGCAAUUGCGUCAUCCAAUCCUUGUUUUUCCCCAGAGGUGAAACCAGAGGGAAAUUUAUUGACAAUGACCGUAGCAGAAUUCCUCUCUGCAAUUCAAGACUGGGAUUUGGUGGAGAAACUGGAU